CUCAGAACAAGCUAAGAACCAUCGAAAGAACAUCAAGCCUGGAAGGUGACAGAAGGAGCAAUGUGUUCUUGAAGAUGUCACCUCAGCCCACCUGCUCCAAGGACAGUGCUUCUUGCGACACUCUGAUAGCUCUGCAUUCUUUUCUGUACCAGGAAGGCACAGAUCAUUCAUGGGGAUGUAUAACCGAAACCAGUCCUCUCCACCGCCUGGGGAUCUUCACUUUCGCAGUCUACGACUGCCUGUGACUCCAGAAAGACAAACUGCAGAUUGGCCAAGCUGCCUGAAGACCCAGCCCGACAGCGAUGCCUGUCAGCCCGCGUCGCCCACCAGGGCAGCUGCUCUCCCAACUCGCAUGGGGGGCACCACCCCGCCUCGGUGCCCUAGAGCUGAGCGCAGCCGCGGCUCCACGGGGAUCGCCAGGGCCUCAGCCCUCGCGGCCGGCGGCGCGGGAGUGUUGCGGGGCAGGGACCAGAGCGCGAUCAGAGCGGCCACCCCCGAUUUAGGUCGCCAGCUUUCCAGUCACUGCGAUGGCCACUGGGGCGCCCCUUCCAUCCUGGUUAAAUUCUCAUUGUGAUCCCCAGCCCUCUUCUCGGUUCCCCACACCCAGGAGGCCGGUUCUCCGCCGCUCAGGCUGGGAGAGGUCACCGCUCCGGGCAGGGUGGACCCCCAGCUCCGUCUCGGAGGACCUUUCGCCGGAGGCGAGCAGGAAGGGGUUAACCAUGAGCCUCCCACCCUCACCUCCCAGACCCUGGUGCCGGGCUAAGGCCUCCGCUUCCCUCCUGAGGUCUCAUUAGGAAACCCUCACCGCUAUUUUCAACAUUUCCUCAAUCAAGUGCCUUUAAAUAGAGCUGCACAAACAGAUUGGCGGCAAAAGCGUAGAUCUUGUCACGAUUGAGACCAAUCCAGUAUUUCAGCCUUGUUUGCUUUGCAAUUACGGGUUGGCUUGUGGCUACGGUGCCACCGGGGCAAAUCUGCAGCCGCUCGCUUUCUCCUCUGCGCUCCGGGCGGGUGGAGGAAGCGACCCGCGGAGUCACUGCAGGGAGGAGAGGGGGACGCGCGCGGGGGGAGGCGGCGGAGGGCGGAGGAGACUCGCUUGCACCCCAGGGCCGCGGGCACGCAGAGCUGUGUUGAAGGACAUACUUUUCAGGUUCCUGACAGUCACUGAGCUAUACGCAAUAAUAAAGUGCGUGAUUCGCGUGUGGAAACCAGUGUCGUGUCCUUACCAGCUUCCUUUUCUGUCCACCUUCCCUCUCUCUUCUACCUCCGUUUCGCUUUUCUUCAGUGCAUGUUAGCGGUUUGCUGGAUUUCCCUUC
rnacentral:lncRNA from 1 species